rnacentral:rRNA from 1 species
CGUGUAGGCGGCUAGAUAAGUCAGAUGUGAAAACCCUUGGCUUAACCAAGGAAGGGCAUUUGAAACUGUCUGGCUUGAGUACGGGAGGGGGAAGUGGAGUUCCCGGUGUAGAGGUGAAAUUCGUAGAUAUCGGGAGGAACACCGGUGGCGAAGGCGGCUUCCUGGACCGAUACUGACGCUGAGACGCGAAAGCGUGGGGAGCAAACAGGAUUAGAUACCCUGGUAGUCCACGCCGUAAACUUUGGGCACUUGGUGUUGCGGGUAUUGACCCCUGCAGUGCCGAAGCUAACGCAUUAAGUGCCCCGCCUGGGGAGUACGGUCGCAAGGCUAAA